GGCCCUGUCGUCUAGCGGUUAGGAUACCUGGUUUUCAUCCAGGAGAUCGCGGGUUCGAUUCCCGCCGGGGCUGCCA
rnacentral:tRNA from 2 species